UCAAAAAAUACACUCAUUUUGCCGGACGGGAAACCUCGCACGUUCUGAUAGUAUACAGUUAUAUACGUGGAACGGACAUUGAGUGGUAAGUGUGUGUAGGUUGGUGCAUGGUCAUCGGUGAGAGAUCGUGUUGUUGACGUGUUGUUAUUUCGUGUAAACAAGUGACUAGUCAGAUUCAGUGGCACAGUGCCUUUCGAGGAAACAGUUGUGUGAUAGUUACUUAAGAAAAAAGUGUUGAAUAGUGGUUUGGUGCAUUUUAACGGUGUUUGGUGUAGCUGUAGUUGUUUUUGGUGGAGCAGGCGAUAUUAAGGUACAAUUCAUAUCGGGUGAUAAUUGUACAGGGUGCAUCGGGCUAUGUCGAACAGGUAUAGGUAUGUUUGUGUUGGUGAAUUCAGGGCGAUGGUGAGACGGCCUUUGCGGGAGUGAGAUAAACUCACGCACACCAAGCCCGACCGGCCAAGAUCCUGCGCAAACUAAAAGCGAUGACGUCCGUGGUGUCCAACUGUGAUUUUACCAUCGACACUACCUGGUCAACGGUGACGGUAUUAGCCAACUUAGACAGAUGUAGCCACCUAUAGUUUGUUCUUGGUAGUUGUGACACGGUUGGGAUCGACGUGGUGUUGGUAUCGGUUCCUGUUAUGGUGGUGGUGGUGGUAGUGAAGGGCGAUUUCUUUGGUGAGUAUUGUCGGUGUCUGUAUUUACAGGGUAUAGUGGAGCAUUGUCAACAACAAUGGUUUCCGUGGAUGCAACAACGUCACGGAACAACCUUCUACGCUUUCCACUCGGGAGGGCAUCCGGGGGCAGUACGUUGAAGCGUUCGCUAGGAGCUUGGUGAGCCGCGGCAAAACUGGCAAAGCCCUCACGGAUUUCGUGCAUCACAGGCGGGACUAAAGCAGCUUUCAUCACCUCGACAGCGGCAGUAAGAGCCGCCUGGAAGCCGACCUGCAUACCCGUUGUUUUGACUGCUUUACUAUGUGGGAUGCCAAGAGCAUUCGAACACCCUACACAGCUCCAAUGAAGAGAUGCCGUCCGUUUUACCUCUUCGAUCACAGUGGAAGUUGCCGUUGCAGAUAGAUGCCACAGGACUCAGGAACAAACGCAGGAAUACAGCAAAGUCAGGAAAGGUUGUGGCGAACAAUUGAAGGCAGGACUACCAGAGACAGCUUAUGUCACAGCUAAGCGGCAGUUUGACGAAAAUUAGGCCGAAACAACGAAAUAAUUCACGAAUUUACGCGGAGCACAGUGAGAAAACACACUCAGUCGUCAGCUGUCAACUGUCAACUUAGCUCUCAGCUGUCAACUGUCAACUGUCAACAACACACUUACUGGUACUUUUUUCUCGUUGUUACCAUUUGAACCCCGUUUAGCUAGUGAACGAACUUCCAAAAUCCAUCGAACUUAUAUCAGAUAACGAUAACGAUUUCUCACUAAAAUUUAAACUUUAGUAAUCUGAUUUUUUUCCAUGCCGUCAAAUGCUCAUAGUGCAAUGUCGAAAACGUCGCACUGUCAACACGAGAGAAAGAGCCCAGGACACCCAAGAAAAGGGGAGCAUCCACACCUUAUUAACACGUGAUUGGACAAUACGUUAAUAGAUAGGUUUUACUUUCGGAAUAUAUUUCGGGAUGUAUUAUUGACAUUGUAAUAGUUCUAUUCAUAGCUGUUUCUUAUUGCUUAGUUAGUGAUAUUACACGUUUUUAUCAAAAUCGUUUACAUUUGGCUAUGGAAAUGUAAUGCUCGUCACAUCGUCGUAUUUUGCGAGCAUUAUUUUCGUCAAGUCUCUCAAAGGCACUGUUGGGACCAAAAGAUUGGGUCUGUUUUCUGCUUUUUUCUACGUUGUGUUUUAUCGAUUGAAAUUGCAGUGCAAAAAGAGAACGAAACAAAAUUCAGACUUCUUAUAUACCUUUCUCUAGAGCCUGUCGUUCCUGACGGACACAAUCCUAUCCGUUACCAACUAACAAAACCCGCAAAACGGUAGUUCCUCAUUCCGUUAAUUUAAAUUAUGAAUGAAUCCUAACCGCGAGGCUACGUGAGGUGAAAUAUACAGCGAAAUGAACUAUUUGACAGGCGAAAUAUCUGGCGGAUAAAGCAUCUCAGCAACCAGCUGAUGUGCAAUGUAAACCAAUAACGUGCACAAAAUCGUAACUAAAUCCAUUGAAUAACUAUUGAAUUUAUUAUCCUAUGAAGCUAUCCAGUACUUCGUCAAUUUUGAACCAACAGAUAAUAAUUAGUGAAUGUUCUGCUCAAGAAGAUAAUAUUUUUAAGUGAAUUUCGAAAGCGGAUGUUGUGUCUCCCCCAACCCUUUAGCUGAAUCUGUCAGAUAUUUCACCUGUCAGAAUAGUUCAUUUCGCUGUAUAUUUUUCCUCAUGUAGCCGCACGGUAACAGGCACCUUAUGCUCUAGAUUGUGCUCUCCCCUGUUCCGAUUCGGUCCUAAGGUGAAAAUGUUGCUAGCGUAAUGCACUAGAAAUGAUCCAAGUAAUCAUGCUUAGGAAACCAUAAGUGUAAAGUUGUAUAUAAACGGUUCAAUGUUUGGUGAUACGUGUAGUAAGAUAACGACUGAUUAACAAAAUACAUAUCAUACGAAAUUAGAU